rnacentral:rRNA from 1 species
UACGUAGGGUGCGAGCGUUAAUCGGAAUUACUGGGCGUAAAGGGCGCGUAGGCGGUCAGCACAAGUCAGUUGUGAAAUCUCCGGGCUUAACUCGGAAAGGUCAACUGAUACUGUGCGACUAGAGUGCGGAAGGGGCAACUGGAAUUCUCGGUGUAGCGGUGAAAUGCGUAGAUAUCAGGAGGAACACCGAUGGCGAAGGCAGGUCUCUGGGCUGACACUGACGCUCAUGCACGAAAGCGUGGGGAGCAAACAGG